GGGAAAGAAAAGGCCUUUGGGUUUUGCUGCACAGCAGGCUCUCCGUGUGUUGCUUGUGGAAAUGCUUUCCUACAGUAGGUUUUCACUCCUCUGAAGUUGUUAAUUUGAUGUGGAUUCUGUCGAUCUGAUAAGGUUCCUGGCGGUGAAGCUGGAUGCUGAAGCAUUGACCCCGGGAUGCCGUACACGAAGUUGGAGAGGAGGUGACACCAAGUCCCCGUGGGCAGUGGUUGCAGUGUGACCUGUGGCCACAGGCUGGCCAGGCUGUGCAGGGCUUGGCGGUUCCAUGUGGCCGUGGGGAAGCUGUCCUCGGUGUGACAGGAGAGGCUGCGUGGUGAAAACAGCCCCACUUUUCCAGAGUUAGCAGGUAGAACAACGUUCUUAAACCACAUCCAGGAACAAUCACAGAAUAUCUUAUUUUGGAAAGGGCCCACAGGGAUCAUCGAGUCCCACUCCUGGUUCAGAGAACACUGAAGUGUCUAAGGCACGAUUUUCCUCCUUUUGCUACCUGGUUCUUCACAGCUUUAGUAGAGGAGAGCAGAAGAGCAACACACCUGAGCAACACUUUGAGCUGAAGUGCCUACACAGACUGCAGAAGGCAAGUCACUG
rnacentral:lncRNA from 1 species